UACGGAGGGUGCAAGCGUUAUCCGGAUUCACUGGGUUUAAAGGGUGCGUAGGAGGGCAGGUAAGUCAGUGGUGAAAUCUCCGGGCUUAACCCGGAAACUGCCAUUGAUACUAUUUGUCUUGAAUACUGUGGAGGUCAGCGGAAUAUGUCAUGUAGCGGUGAAAUGCUUAGAUAUGACAUAGAACACCAAUUGCGAAGGCAGCUGGCUACACAAAUAUUGACACUGAGGCACGAAAGCGUGGGGAUCAAACAGG
rnacentral:rRNA from 1 species